rnacentral:rRNA from 1 species
GGAAAGGCGCGCGAUACAGGGUGACAGCCCCGUACACAAAAAUGCACAUGCUGUGAGCUCGAUGAGUAGGGCGGGACACGUGGUAUCCUGUCUGAAUAUGGGGGGACCAUCCUCCAAGGCUAAAUACUCCUGACUGACCGAUAGUGAACCAGUACCGUGAGGGAAAGGCGAAAAGAACCCCGGCGAGGGGAGUGAAAAAGAACCUGAAACCGUGUACGUACAAGCAGUGGGAGCACAGAGCAAUCUGUGUGACUGCGUACCUUUUGUAUAAUGGGUCAGCGACUUAUAUUCUGUAGCAAGGUUAACCGAAUAGGGGAGCCGAAGGGAAACCGAGUCUUAACUGGGCGUUAAGUUGCAGGGUAUAGACCCGAAACCCGGUGAUCUAGCCAUGGGCAGGUUGAAGGUUGGGUAACACUAACUGGAGGACCGAACCGACUAAUGUUGAAAAAUUAGCGGAUGACUUGUGGCUGGGGGUGAAAGGCCAAUCAAACCGGGAGAUAGCUGGUUCUCCCCGAAAGCUAUUUAGGUAGCGCCUCGUGAAUUCAUCUCCGGGGGUAGAGCACUGUUUCGGCAAGGGGGUCAUCCCGACUUACCAACCCGAUGCAAACUGCGAAUACCGGAGAAUGUUAUCACGGGAGACACACGGCGGGUGCUAACGUCCGUCGUGAAGAGGGAAACAACCCAGACCGCCAGCUAAGGUCCCAAAGUCAUGGUUAAGUGGGAAACGAUGUGGGAAGGCCCAGACAGCCAGGAUGUUGGCUUAGAAGCAGCCAUCAUUUAAAGAAAGCGUAAUAGCUCACUGGUCGAGUCGGCCUGCGCGGAAGAUGUAACGGGGCUAAACCAUGCAC